rnacentral:rRNA from 1 species
UUAAAAGCAAUUAAGGGCGUAUGGAGGAUGCCUUGGCAUCAGUCGGCGACGAAGGACGUGAUAAGCUGCGAUAAGCUUCGGUGAGGUGCACAUAACUGUUGACCCGGAGAUUUCCGAAUGGGGAAACCCAAUAUACUAUGGUAUAUUAUCCAACAUUGAAUUCAUAGAUGUUGAGAAGCAAACGGAGUGAAUUGAAACAUCUUAGUAACUCCAGGAAAAGAAAUCAACCGAGAUUCCCUAAGUAGCGGCGAGCGAACGGGGAGGAGCCUAAACCAGGUUUAACCUGGUGUUGUAGGGCCAACUAUAUAGAAGUUAUCAAAUAUUUUUCUAGCAGAAGUACAUUGGAAAAUGUCACCAUAGACGGUUAUAGUCCGGUAUGCGAAAGAAAAAUGUCUUCUUGUUGGUUCCUGAGUAGGGCGGGGCACGUGAAACCCUGUUUGAAACUGGGAGGACCACCUUCCAAGGCUAAAUACGAACUGAUGACCGAUAGUGAACCAGUACCGUGAGGGAAAGGUGAAAAGAACCCCGGGAGGGGAGUGAAAUAGUACCUGAAACCGUACGCCUACAAUCUGUCGAAGGAAAGACUUGUCUUUCUGACGGCGUGCCUUUUGUUUAAUGAGCCAGCGAGUUACUCGUAUGCAGCAAGGUUAAGGGCUUAAGGUCCGUAGCCGAAGGGAAACCGAGUGUUAAUAGCGCGAUUUUAGUUGCAUGCGGUAGACACGAAGCCGAGUGAUCUAGUUAUGGCCAGGUUGAAGCGUGGGUAACACCUCGUGGAGGACCGAACCAGUUAAGGUUGAAAACUUAUUGGAUGAGCUGUGACUAGGGGUGAAAGGCCAAUCAAACUCGGCGAUAGCUUGUUCUCUCCGAAAUAUAUUUAGGUAUAGCGUUAGAAUAGUGUGCAGGGGGUAGAGCACUGAAUGGACUAGGGGGCAUACCAGCUUACCAAACCCAAACAAACUCCGAAUACCUGUUACAUGUUUUCUGGCAGUCAGCCCAUGGGAGAUAAGUUCCAUGGACGAAAGGGGAACAACCCGGACCAUCAGCUAAGGUCCCUAAGUUUAUGCUAAGUGGGUAAGGAGGUGAAGUUACCCAGACAACCAGGAGGUUAGCUUAGAAGCAGCUAUCCUUUAAAGAAAGCGUAAUAGCUCACUGGUCAAGUGAUUUUGUGCCGAAAAUUAGCGGGACUAAGCAUAACACCGAAGCUAUGGGUUCUGUAUUUAUACAGAGCGGUAGGAGAGCGUUCCGUAGGCCGUUGAAGGUGUAUCGUAAGGUAUGCUGGAGGUAUCGGAAAUGAGAAUGCUGGCAUGAGUAGUGAUAAUGGGGGUGAUGAAACCCCCACACCGUAAGUCUAAGAUUUCCUGAGUAAAGCUAAUCUUCUCAGGGUUAGUCGGCCCCUAAGGCGAGGCCGAAAGGCGUAGUCGAUGGGAACAAGGUCAAUAUUCCUUGACCAAUAUAAAAGCGUUAUACCGAAGGGGGGACGCAGGAGCUAGAGAGAGCAACCUGAUGGAUAUGGUUGUUUGGAAGCGUAGGGUGCCUGGUAGGCAAAUCCGCCAGACAUUAGCCCGAGACUUUUGAGGAAGCGCGCUGCUUGCAGCAAGCCAACUCUUUCGAAGGACUGCCAAGAAAAGCCUCUAAGGGAGUUUUUAUGUUGACCGUAUCGCAAUCCGACACAGGUAGACGAGGCGAGUAGCCUCAGGUGUUCGAGAGAACCAUGGAAAAGGAACUCGGCAAAAUUGCCCCGUAACUUCGGAAUAAGGGGUGCCCAUAGAGGUGAAGACUUCGCGUCGGAGCUAAAGUGGGUCACAGUAAAUUGGUGGGAGCGACUGUUUACCAAAAACACAGGACAAUGCAAAGUCGUAAGACGCAGUAUAUUGUCUGACACGUGCCCGGUGCUGGAAGGUUAAUUGGAGGUGUUAUCCCCUUGAGGGAGAAGCUCUGAAAAGAAGCCCCAGUAAACGGCGGCCGUAACUAUAACGGUCCUAAGGUAGCGAAAUUCCUUGUCGGGUAAGUUCCGACCUGCACGAAUCGUGUAACGACUUCCACGCUGUCUCAUCCAUGGACUCGAUGAAAUUGCAGUACCGGUGCAGAUGCCGGUUACCCACAUCUGGACGGAAAGACCCCGUGAACCUUUACUGUAGCUUGACAUUGAAUUUAGGUUGCAUAUGUGUAGAAUAGGUGGGAGGCUGAGAUACGUGAUCGCUAGAUUGCGAGGAGCCGCCUGUGAAAUACCACCCUUAUGUUAUUUGGAUUCUAACCACGACCCGUGAAACCGGGCCUGGGACAAUGUCUGGUGGUCAGUUUGACUGGGGCGGUCGCCUCCUAAAAAGUAACGGAGGCAUCCAAAGGUUCCCUCAGCGCGGUCGGUAAUCGCGCGUCGAGUAUAAAGGCAUAAGGGAGCUUAACUGCGAGACUGACAGGUCGAGCAGGUACGAAAGUAGGGCUUAGUGAUCCCGCGGUAUAGUGUGGAAUUGCCGUUGCUCAAUGGAUAAAAGGUACUCCGGGGAUAACAGGCUUAUCUCCCCCAAGCGUUCAUAGCGACGGGGAGGUUUGGCACCUCGAUGUCGGCUCGUCACAUCCUGGGGCUGGAGAAGGUCCCAAGGGUUUGGCUGUUCGCCAAUUAAAGUGGCACGCGAGCUGGGUUCAGAACGUCGUGAGACAGUUCGGUCCCUAUCCGAUGUGGGCGUUUGAUACUUGAAGGAACCUGACUCUAGUACGAGAGGACCGAGUUGGACGAACCUCUGGUGUAUCAGUUGUCGCGCCAGCGGCAUUGCUGAGUAGCUAUGUUCGGCAGAGAUAAGCGCUGAAAGCAUCUAAGCGCGAAGCUCCUCCUGAGAUUAGGUAUCACCGUAACUUUAAGUUACCUGAAGACCCGUUCGAGACUAGGACGUUGAUAGGUCACAGAUGUAAGCUCAGUAAUGGGUUGAGUCGAGUGAUACUAAUAGGUCGUGAGGCUUUUAUCU